rnacentral:rRNA from 1 species
UACGGGGGGAGCAAGCGUUGUUCGGAUUUACUGGGCGUAAAGGGCGCGUAGGCGGCGCAACAAGUCACUUGUGAAAUCUCCGGGCUUAACCCGGAGCGGCCAAGUGAUACUGUCGUGCUAGGGUGCGGAAGGGGCUACUGGAAUUCUCGGUGUAGCGGUGAAAUGCGUAGAUAUCGAGAGGAACACCUGCGGCGAAGGCGGGUAGCUGGGCCGACACUGACGCUGAGGCGCGAAAGCCAGGGGAGCGAACGGG